rnacentral:rRNA from 1 species
CGGGGAAACUCGGGCUAAUACUGGAUACGUUCCACGGAGGAAAGUGGGGGAGCUCUUCGGAGCCCUCACGCUGAAGGAUGGGGCCGCGGUCCAUCAGGUAGUUGGUAGGGUAAUGGCCUACCAAGCCGAAGACGGAUAGCUGGUCUGAGAGGAUGAUCAGCCACACUGGAACUGAGACACGGUCCAGACUCCUACGGGAGGCAGCAGUGGGGAAUCUUGCGCAAUGGGCGAAAGCCUGACGCAGCAACGCCGUGUGUGCGAUGAAGGCCCUCGGGUCGUAAAGCACUGUUUACGGGAAAGACGGGUCUGCUCGUUAAUAUCGAGUGGAUUUGACGGUACCCGUGUAGGAAGCACCGGCUAACUCUGUGCCAGCAGCCGCGGUAAUACAGAGGGUGCAAGCGUUGUUCGGGAUUAUUGGGCGUAAAGCGCGCGUAGGCGGUUAUUCAAGUCGGAUGUGAAAGCCCGGGGCUCAACCUCGGAAGUGCAUCCGAAACUGGAUGACUUGAAUCCUGGAGGGGGCAGUGGAAUUCCCGGUGUAGAGGUGAAAUUCGUAGAUAUCGGGAGGAACACCAGUGGCGAAGGCGACUGCCUGGACAGUGAUUGACGCUGAGGUGCGAAAGCGUGGGUAGCAAACA